rnacentral:lncRNA from 1 species
CCGUUUCGUGUAAGCCAUACGCGAGCCACGCGCAACCGAUCCAUUCCUGUGUGAGUCGUAUGCCAGCCGUGAGUCUCAAGACUCGAGCUGAAGCGUUGUUAGUCGAGCCACCUUCAGUUUUAGCCGUCUGCAACAUAUUUAAGCCCUUGGUGAGUUUUUGCUUAAUUCUCGUUGGGUUUGGUACACCCAAAUAAUUAUUGUUUUGGGUCUAAAAUGAGUUAGCACUGGAAUGAGUUGAAUUAUGUUGUUUGAGAUGGUCGUAUAAAUAGUUACUUUGAAAACCUUAUUAUGAUUUAGAUAUAGUAUUAUUUGUUGAGGCAUGCUAUAAUCAAAUAUGUUACUUUUGAGUUAUGUGUAAUUGAGCUAAGAUGUUGAUCUUAUGAUAAACAUGUAUAGGCUAUAGUGUUCUGUUAGUUUUGCCUAUUAGAGUUGUACCGUAUGGGGGUCCAUCAGGGUCACCACCUAUGUAUGCAUGUGUGACUUGUUUGAGAUGUGAUUCGACGGGAUCACUUACAGUCUGACUCUCCUAUAGGAUGAUUCCUUCGGGUUCACCGAGAGCCUAGAUGUGUCCCUACGGAACCACUUGAUAGUAUGCGUUCGGGAGCGCAAUAGUAUGCGGUACCAUGUUACAGGACUCUAACGAAAGGUUAACAGACACAUAGUGAGACCACUAUGGGUCUCUUACUAAGUAUAAAUUUAUACUCACUCUUUUAAAUGUUUAAUUUCAGGUAAGGGUAGAGGCAAGGGCAUAAUAGCGAAUGAUAAGAAGU